rnacentral:rRNA from 1 species
UACGAAGGGGGCUAGCGUUGCUCGGAUUGACUGGGCGUAAAGGGCGCGUAGGCGGUUCGUACAGUCAGACGUGAAAUUCCUGGGCUCAACCUGGGGGCUGCGUUUGAUACGUGCGGACUUGAGUGCGGAAGAGGGUCGUGGAAUUCCCAGUGUAGAGGUGAAAUUCGUAGAUAUUGGGAAGAACACCGGUGGCGAAGGCGGCGACCUGGUCCGAUACUGGCGCUGAGGAGCGAAAGUCAGGGGAGCAAACGGG